CGGCUGUGUUCCCUCUCUCUCUCUUUCCCCCGCUCUGUCUCCCUCUCUCUCUCCCGCAUCUUUUCCUUUAACCGAUCUCUCUCCCUCUCCAUCUCUCUGUCUUUCUCAGUAGGUAUGUGGUCUCCGGACUGUUUCCUAUCCUGCAGGCCGUCUUCUCUGUCUCUGCCACUAGAGGGGGACAUAGUUCUCUCCGGCUUGGGAAAGGUACAGUCCCUCUCUUUCCAUCGCCCUGCCUCCGUCUCCGUUGUCACGGCGACGUGGGGUCCGGGGGGGAAAGGGAGGGAGGGGGCGAGCAAGGGGCGGAGUAGUUGAACCCUGACCCCUCCUUCCUCUUCCUCUGAUUCGUAGUCCUCCUUCUCCCACUUGGAGCGAGGGACCUGGAGGAGGAGAGAAGAGAACAUCUGUAUGUGUGAGAUGUCUCUCUCCUGUAUGAGUACUAUCUGGUCUAACAGGUGUAGAGCUGUGUGUCUCCUGUAUGAGUACUAUCUGGUCUAACAGGUGUAGAGCUGUGUGUUUCCUGUAUGAGUACUAUCUGGUCUAACAGGUGUAGAGCUGUGUGUUUCCUGUAUGAGUACUAUCUGGUCUAACAGGUGUAGAGCUGUGUGUCUCCUGUAUGAGUACUAUCUGGUCUAACAGGUGUAGAGCUGUGUGUCUCCUGUAUGAGUACUAUCUGGUCUAACAGGUGUAGAGCUGUGUCCCCUGUAUGAGUACUAUCUGGUCUAACAGGUGUAGAGCUGUGUCCCCUGUAUGAGUACUAUCUGGUCUAACAGGUGUAGAGCUGUGUGUCCCCUGUAUGAGUACUAUCUGGUCUAACAGGUGUAGAGCUGUGUCCCCUGUAUGAGUACUAUCUGGUCUAACAGGUGUAGAGCUGUGUCCCCUGUAUGAGUACUAUCUGGUCUAACAGGUGUAGAGCUGUGUGUCCCCUGUAUGA
rnacentral:lncRNA from 1 species